GGGAGAGGUAAGAGGUACUGCAGGGGUAGGAGUGAAAUCUUGUAAUCCCUGUGAGACCACCAGUGGCGAAGGCGUCUUACCAGAACGGGUCCGACGGUGAGGGACGAAAGCUGGGGGCACGAACCGGAUUAGAUACCCGGGUAGUCCCAGCUGUAAACGAUGCUCGUUAGGUGUCAGGAACGGUGCGACUGUUUCUGGUGCCGAAGGGAAGCCGUGAAACGAGCCACCUGGGAAGUACGGCCGCAAGGCUGAAACUUAAAGGAAUUGGCGGGGGAGCACUACAACGGGUGGAGCCUGCGGUUUAAUUGGACUCAACGCCGGAAAACUCACCGGGGGCGACAGCAAUAUGUAGGUCAGGUUAAAGGUCUUACCUGAAUCGCUGAGAGGAGGUGCAUGGCCGUCGUCAGUUCGUACUGUGAAGCAUCCUGUUAAGUCAGGCAACGAGCAAGACCCGUGCCCACUGUUACCAGCAUAUCCUUUAUGGAUGAUGGGGACUCUGUGGGGACCGCUGCUGCUAAAGCAGAGGAAGGUGCGGGCUACGGUAGGUCAGUAUGCCCCGAAUCUCCCGGGCUACACGCGGGCUACAAUGGUUGGGACAAUGGGUAUCUACUCCGAAAGGAGUUGGCAAUCUCUUAAACCCAAUCGUAGUUCGAAUUGAGGGCUGUACUCGCCCUCAUGAAGCUGGAAUCCGUAGUAAUCGCGUUUCAACAUAGCGCGG
rnacentral:rRNA from 1 species